rnacentral:rRNA from 1 species
GAUGAACGCUGGCGGCGUGCCUAAUACAUGCAAGUCGAGCGAACAGACGAGGAGCUUGCUCCUCUGACGUUAGCGGCGGACGGGUGAGUAACACGUGGAUAACCUACCUAUAAGACUGGGAUAACUUCGGGAAACCGGAGCUAAUACCGGAUAACAUGUUGAACCGCAUGGUUCAACAGUGAAAGACGGUCUUGCUGUCACUUAUAGAUGGAUCCGCGCCGCAUUAGCUAGUUGGUAAGGUAACGGCUUACCAAGGCAACGAUGCGUAGCCGACCUGAGAGGGUGAUCGGCCACACUGGAACUGAGACACGAUCCAGACUCCUACGGGAGGCAGCAGUAGGGAAUCUUCCGCAAUGGGCGAAAGCCUGACGGAGCAACGCCGCGUGAGUGAAGAAGGUCUUCGGAUCGUAAAACUCUGUUAUUAGGGAAGAACAAAUGUGUAAGUAACUAUGCACGUCUUGACGGUACCUAAUCAGAAAGCCACGGCUAACUACGUG